rnacentral:rRNA from 1 species
AAUGCCUAGGAAUCUGCCUGGUAGUGGGGGAUAACGUUCGGAAACGGACGCUAAUACCGCAUACGUCCUACGGGAGAAAGCAGGGGACCUUCGGGCCUUGCGCUAUCAGAUGAGCCUAGGUCGGAUUAGCUAGUUGGUGAGGUAAUGGCUCACCAAGGCGACGAUCCGUAACUGGUCUGAGAGGAUGAUCAGUCACACUGGAACUGAGACACGGUCCAGACUCCUACGGGAGGCAGCGGUGGGGAAUAUUGGACAAUGGGCGAAAGCCUGAUCCAGCCAUGCCGCGUGUGUGAAGAAGGUCUUCGGAUUGUAAAGCACUUUAAGUUGGGAGGAAGGGUUGUAGAUUAAUACUCUGCAAUUUUGACGUUACCGACAGAAUAAGCACCGGCUAACUCUGUGCCAGCAGCCGCGGUAAUACAGAGGGUGCAAGCGUUAAUCGGAAUUACUGGGCGUAAAGCGCGCGUAGGUGGUUUGUUAAGUUGGAUGUGAAAUCCCCGGGCUCAACCUGGGAACUGCAUUCAAAACUGACUGACUAGAGUAUGGUAGAGGGUGGUGGAAUUUCCUGUGUAGCGGUGAAAUGCGUAGAUAUAGGAAGG